rnacentral:rRNA from 1 species
GACGAACGCUGGCGGCGUGCCUAAUACAUGCAAGUAGAACGCUGAAGGAGGAGCUUGCUUCUCUGGAUGAGUUGCGAACGGGUGAGUAACGCGUAGGUAACCUGCCUGGUAGCGGGGGAUAACUAUUGGAAACGAUAGCUAAUACCGCAUAAGAGUAGAUGUUGCAUGACAUUUGCUUAAAAGGUGCAAUUGCAUCACUACCAGAUGGACCUGCGUUGUAUUAGCUAGUUGGUGGGGUAACGGCUCACCAAGGCGACGAUACAUAGCCGACCUGAGAGGGUGAUCGGCCACACUGGGACUGAGACACGGCCCAGACUCCUACGGGAGGCAGCAGUAGGGAAUCUUCGGCAAUAGACGGAAGUCUGACCGAGCAACGCCGCGUGAGUGAAGAAGGGUUUCGGAUCGUAAAGCUCUGUUGUAAGAGAAGAACGAGUGUGAGAGUGGAAAGUUCACACUGUGACGGUAUCUUACCAGAAAGGGACGGCUAACUACGUG